rnacentral:rRNA from 1 species
GGGACCGCCGCUGCUAAAGCGGAGGAAGGAAUGGGCAACGGUAGGUCAGUAUGCCCCGAAUAUCCCGGGCUACACGCGAGCUACAAUGGUUGGUACAAUGGGUAUCUACCCCGAAAGGGGACGGGAAUCUCCUAAAACCAAUCUUAGUUCGGAUUGAGGGCUGCAACUCGCCCUCAUGAAGCUGGAAUCCGUAGUAAUCGCGUUUCAACAGAACGCGGUGAAUACGUCCCUGCUCCUU